rnacentral:misc_RNA from 1 species
AACGCACAUUGCGCCCCUUGGUAUUCCGGGGGGCAUGCCUGUUCGAGCGUCAUUAUCACCCCUCAAGCUCAGCUUGGUGUUGGGGCCUGCCCGUCACAGGGCAGCCCUUAAAAGCAGUGGCGGUGCCAUCUGGCUCUAAGCGUAGUAAUACUCCUCGCUAUAGACGUCUGGUGGUGUCCUGCCAAAACCCCCCAAUAUUUUUAAUGAUUGACCUCGGAUCAGGUAGGGAUACCCGCUGAACUUAA